rnacentral:rRNA from 1 species
AUUGAACGCUGGCGGCAGGCCUAACACAUGCAAGUCGAACGGUAGCACAGAGAGCUUGCUCUCGGGUGACGAGUGGCGGACGGGUGAGUAAUGUCUGGGAAACUGCCUGAUGGAGGGGGAUAACUACUGGAAACGGUAGCUAAUACCGCAUAACGUCACAAGACCAAAGAGGGGGACCUUCGGACCUCGUGCCAUCAGAUGUGCCCAGAUGGGAUUAGCUGGUAGGUGGGGUAACGGCUCACCUAGGCGACGAUCCCUAGCUGGUCUGAGAUGAUGACCAGCCACAUUGGAAUUGAGACGCGGUCCAGACACCUACGGGAGGCAGCAGUGGGGAAUAUUGCACAAUUGGCGCAAGCCUGAUGCAGCCAUGCAGCGUGUAUGAAGAAGGCCUUCGGGUUGUAAAGUACUUUCAGCGGGGAGGGAGGUGUUGAGGUUAAUAACCUCAGCAAUUGACGUUACCCGCAGAAGAAGCACCGGCUAACUCCGUGCCAGCCGCCGCCGUAACAC